GAGAUGUCCAACACUCAGUGGUAGAGCAUCUGCCUUGCAUGCAGAAGGUCUGUGUUCAGUUCCCAGCAUCUACA